ACUCUAGUUUCUCUUCAGAUCAUAUAAAUCUUUCACCUUUUACUAAAGAUUUCCAUGGAGAAAGGAUAUAUAGACCUUCUUCAACAAUGUUCAAAACAUUCCGGAGAGAUUUG
rfam:Tupaia chinensis contig222666, whole genome shotgun sequence.